AACCCUUGUCCUUAGUUACCAGCACGUUAUGGUGGGCACUCUAAGGAGACUGCCGGUGACAAACCGGAGGAAGGUGGGGGAUGACGUCAAGUCAUCAUGGCCCUUACGGCCCUGGGCUACACACGUGCUACAAUGGUCGGUACAAAGGGUUGCCAAGCCGCGAGGUGGAGCUAAUCCCAUAAAACCGAUCGUAGUCCGGAUCGCAGUCUGCAACUCGACUGCGUGAAGUCGGAAUCGCUAGUAAUCGCGGAUCAGCAUGCCGCGGUGAAUACGUUCCCGGGCCUU
rnacentral:rRNA from 1 species